rnacentral:tRNA from 1 species
GCCCUUAUAGCUCAGUGGUAGAGCGCAUCACUCGUAAUGAUGAGGUCCCAGGUUCAAUCCCUGGUGGGGGCA